rnacentral:lncRNA from 10 species
CGCAAAGGCCUCUGUGGCUGUUAGGAACAGAGAGGGCAGUAAUGCGGCUGGCCAGCUGCCACCAGGGUCAGUGGUGGCCAGCCUGGAUGAAGAAAGGAAGCUCGUGCUUGAGCUGCCUCUGGUAGGUCCUGAGAGAGAGGACUUGCCUCCCAGACCAAGUGUAAAUCAGCUCUCAAGCUUGCCCCAGCUGCUGCAAACUGCCUGGGAGGCUGAGGUCAUGCUCUGCAGUGAACAAAGACAUGGCAGCCAGCAAGGCCAGGCUGAGCAAGGCUUCUUGGUUUGGCUGGGCCUGAUUCACAGUAGGUCUGGAAGUGCCAAGAAAACUUUGAGUGUGCGGAUGAACGUUCUGGUCAAGUGAGGCUGUGAACCACCAUGUCAGACCCUGAAAAGGAAUUCUGACCCCCUGGCUUCUGUAGAGUUCCUCCUGGGCCACAGCAAACGGGACAGACUUCAUGGACAAGCCAAGGGUUUGAUAAAUCUUUACUUGACACCAGUCUGAGAGAGACAACUCUGAUCUGGAUUGAAAGGAAUUUUCUGAUUUUCCAAGUUGGUAAAAUGGAAUAGGGGGGUGCCUGGGAUUUGGAUUGGGGGAUGACUUCCUCGGAGUGUGGAGGGGCUUCUCAGAGGCAAAGCUGGGAUGAAAGCCCAGAUCAUCUCAGGCCAAAUGCUGGCCUUUUCCCACCAUUCCACAUCAUUUUCUAUGUUACAUCGCCCAUAUUUUGAUUGAUGGGUGAGACCUUUAAGAACUCUCACCCAAGGUGAGAACUCACCUAGCUCUCUAGGCCCAGGGCUGGACAUUGAAGAUGGUUGUUUGCAAAGGGACCUGAUUUUCUCCUCCCUAAUGGUUCUCACCCCAGACAUUACUUGCACAGUAUCUGUGUCCACAAGACUUGAGGGACUGUGGCCAGUCCAUGUGCUUUCCCCAUUGACAGCACAGGCAAUGAAUAACUGACCACAGACAGGUCUGCAGUGAUUUCUUUGAAUUUAUGGAGAAUGACAGGUAAGGUAAACCUGAAGUCUGAAGACAGAGUCAUAUGAGCCCAUUUCAUCUAUCCCAGAGACCUGACUGGAACCCUUGUCUUGGGUGGCUCAAAGCUGAGAUGGGGCUAUCUGAGCUGCCAUGUCCUAAAUGCAGAGAAAAGGGGUUUCAAGGCAAGAUUCUUUUUUGUCACUCUCAGCCUUGCUUUUAGGAUUAGUUGUUCCAUUAAACAUUCAGCCUUAAUAAAA